GGGGGGUAAGAUGUACGCAGUCCAUACCUCUACCUCUGAAGAAGUCGAAAGGCUGUUUCCGAUAGAGUUAUAAUUACCUUAUGUAAGUUCCUCUUCCUUUCCUCUUCCUAUACUGCUCUACUAGUCUCUUACAAGAAAUCCGAACUGGUUCUUGAAAUAGACACGCCACUCCUCACCCUCAUCUCCUCCAAGCUCUUCCAAACUUUCAUAUUGUGGCUUAGCAGCUUGAUACCCCUAUAGUUGUUGCAAUUCUAAAUGUUACAACGGAAUGAUUGUACUCCACCCCAUUUUUCAGUGCAUUUUGGCCCUUUUAAAAACAACAUUAAACAAUCUAGUUAACUACUCCAAACCUGCCCCACUUGCACUCUUCCAAAAUUCUAUCUGAAUCUCGUCUAGCCUGAUCGCUCUUCCUGCGCAUCCUACGAAUCCUCCUCCAUGUUUAUACACCUACAAUACCCAAGAUCAAUGCCUCUCGAAGUGCACCAAAUCUCCUAGCAGAAUUUCUCUGUCCCCCUCUUCAUUCAAGAGUUUAUGAAAGUAUGAAUGAGAAAGAUACAAGAACUCUAAAAUUAUGGCAAGGGAAAAGCUUUGGCCUUGCGGGACUAUUUAGGUCUUAUAUCAAGAUUGUUGAGGCUCUGAUACCAUAAAAUAAGAGUUCUUUUUGUAUAGAAUGUUGAUAUGUUAAAUAACAUAUAACAGGACUCUUUGUAAGAUAUUUGUAUUUGUUGAAAUGCAGGAGGAGGUGUGAAAUUGCAGAGACUCUUGCUGAAAGGAAUUUCGACUUGGCUUUCCAAGUGAUCCAUGAGUUCAACCUUCCUGGUACUUCUCAUACUCACAAUUUUCUUCAAUACUUUUCCUGGAUCACUCUAGUAUUAGAACUUACCGUCGAUUUAUGCUCAAUUUGUUUAGCUGUUGACAUAUAUGCUGGUGUUGCUGCAUCACUUGCUGAGAGAAAGAGGGGAAGCCAACUUACGGAGUUCUUCAGGAACAUUAAAGGCACUAUUGAUGAUGAUGAUUGGGAUCAGGUAUUCUUAUGAAUGCGAUUGUCUUCACUCUUCAAUGUGUUUUUUAAUAUUCCGCAACAGAUGAUUGACCUUUCUUUUCACUUUUCUUUUUUAAAACUCAUUUUCUUGAGGAAUCCAUACUUGAUGGGUCAGAUAUGAUAGAGUGGGGUUUGGUGGGGCGGGUUUUAUCUAAAAGCACCAGCCAUAGCAACCUAUUUCAUUGAUCUUAUACUUCUUGAAUCUUUUAACGGUUAUCUAAGUUGGUUAAAGAAGUGUCGAAGGUUGGUUAUAAUUAACCCCUCCGACGUUCCUGUCAUUCGUUCACCUUACCAAUAGUAGAAAUGCGGAAGAACAUUUCAUGAAUCCAAAUGUUAAUGGAAUCUAUUAUUUUUUCAAACAGUGGGAUCUGAAGUAUGAAGAAAUUUUGAACUGCAAUAGGUUUCUAUCUACACUAAUAUCUAAUGAACUAAUGCCGUAUUUAAUGGAUUGUAUUUAUUUUUUAGGUUUUGGGGGCAGCCAUUAAUGUGUAUGCAAACAAACACAAAGAGCGACCUGACCGUCUGAUUGACAUGUUGACUAGUAGCCACAGGUCAGUUUAUUUUUUGCUGUUGAAUCUGCAUAUAUCGAAGUACCUCCCAAUUACCCAGUGUUUACUCAUGUGCCUCUGAUUGCAGUUAGUUUAUGCCAAAAAAAUCUUCUGUUUCUGAUUGGUGUUUAUGCCAAAAAAAUCUUCUGUUUCUAAUUGGUGUGUGACCUGUAAACUCCUGUAAAGCACCAUCUGAAUUCUUCUGCAAACUGUCCAGCUUAGAAGAUAUGGAAUAUGUCCCAUGUUGAAUAUCAACAUAGCUCCCCUGUUUUUUAUCCCUGAUUAUGAUAAUACCCCUCUUAUUAUCAUAUGCUUUGAACUCUGUCCAUCCAGUCAAUCUAUUCCCCGAAACUUGUUGGAUCAUGCUUAUUGACCUUGCUCUCCAUUUAUGGUUGAGAGACCUAAGUGGGUUUUUCUUAUUUGAAUCAUUUAACCCCCUAAUGUUCCAACUUAAGCUUGUUGCUAUCAUCCCGAAAGAGGCUUAUUUGUGCUACCCUCGUCUCUUAUAUCCUUACCAUCAUGGUUCACACUGCAGAUCAAGUUUUGACCUAGUUUUCCCCUUCCUUACCUACUUUCUUUGCUGCUAGCUGUUUCUGUAGCUGUUGUAGCCUUUUCUAUUCCAUUCUCAAGAUGAUUAACAGUUCAUGCUCAAAACCCAUGGCACUCACUCCAAAGGCUUUGCUUGGUUUAACCUCGAUUAGCUUUGUCCAUUUGAGUAGAUCUUUAACAUGUUGUAGAUAUAAAAAUAAGUAGUGUCCCAUUUGGAACAUUCAAAGAUUUUCGAUGAGGAUGUCUCACAUUUUAACGCCUAUAACUUGCUAUGUGAUAUAUGUUCGCUGCCGCCACCCUCUACCAUUGUAACUUGGGGGUUAUGCUAAAUAAUAUCCCCCUUCACAACAUUCUUAUUUUUCAAAUUGUACCCCUUGCUAAAUGAGUUGAUACUUCUAGCUCAUGUAAAAUACUGGAAUGAUUAAAUGAUCUGAGUUUGUCAAAGCAUAUUUCUCACCUUGGAAAUGAUUGUUGGCGUGGUUUGAUUUGUUCAUUUUUAUGGCUUAAGUUAGCUACAAGGGGCUAGAAAGGUGGAAGUUGCAGACAUAACACAGAAGAUAAUCAAAUAAAUAAAUUUAUAACUAGUUGAAAAUGUCCUCCAACAAUUUAAACUUUUAAAUGUGAUGAUUCCAUAGUUCAACGUGAUAUUAGCAAACAGAGCUGUUGGAUUCUUACCAUUGUUCAUCUACAAAACAUUUUCAUAUUCAUACGUUAAAUAAAUAAGCAGAAGUGUAUGUUCUCUAACAGAUCAAGCGGCUACUAGGUUAAGCUUUUAGAUGAGACAGUUUUCCCAACUUAACAAUGCACUUGUUUUAAUUACUGUUAGAAACUAGCUGGUAAACUUUGAGUGCUUCUUCAUUAAAAGCUUGCAUUUCACAGGAAAGUACUUGCAUGUGUUGUUUGCGGACGUCUCAAGAGUGCAUUCCAAAUUGCAUCUAGAAGUGGAAGUGUGGCGGAUGUUCAAUAUGUUGCACAUCAGGUUUGCUGCAUUCAUGAACUUUAGAAGUUAAAUACAAUCUUGUUCCACCAACCUAAUUAUGUUUCAAGGAUGCGUAAGGUUUUUUCUCUUGGCUAGCAACUGGAGGAGUGAUUUUGACGUUGGAAAAUCUUAGAAAGCAUAAGGGUGUUUGCGUCAGCUGGUGUUUCAUGUGUAAGGAGACAGGGGAAGAAGUGGGUCAUCUUCUCAUACAUUGUGCCUUUACCAUGAGAUUAUGGUGGGAUAUGCUCGGUGGUUCGGAAUGUCUUGGGUUAUGCCAAAAUCUGUGAAAGAAUUAAUGUUUUGUUGGAAAAGCGGGAAUAGGAGGAGAACGCGCAAGGCAUGGAAUUUGGUCCCUCUUGCGUUGAUGUGGGUUAUUUGGAAUGAGAGAAAUAGGAGAACUGUUGAGGGGCUAUUUUCCUCAAGUGAGGAAUAGUCUCCGGUCUCUUAUUUUCUUUUGGGGCACCCAUAAAAUCCCUAGUUGUAUAGAAGAAUGGAUGACUUAGUAGAAAAUUAGAUUUUCUAGAUUCUUUACCUUUUGAUAUUUUCCUUUGUAUAUGGCCAACUCGGCCUUGUUUAUGAAUGAAAUACACUUACCUAAUAAAAAAAAAUAAAAAUUCAAGGAUACCCGUAUGAGAUUGUGUUGUAACUGGUUUUCCUAUUCAUAUUCUGUGGGGCCCAUUUUCUGGUGAACUCAAUAUAUUGGUUUAAGUUAUUCCAAAUUGGUGCAAUGAACUUUUAACUAAUGCCACAGAUAAAUUUGUAAAUGUUUUGGGUGAUUUAUAGUCAGAACCUUAAUAACUAAGUUUAAAUGUCACUUGAGAGCUGCUAGAAAAACAUGUUUCUAAGCUGGUUAUUUUGGCUUAUUUGGUUGAUCCUUAGGGCUUAGCCUGUUUAUACCUUCAGCUUUGGUAAAUAAUCGGAUGUUUGUGUUCUUUACCGGUAGAACUGUUCUCUACACAUUCUGGCCCUACAAGUUGUUUCCCAUGUACUUAUUAUUUAGUAUCUACCUUUACAAGGAUUUUCCUGCUGCAGUAUCCAGUGAGUGGGAUUCCACGGAACGACGAAUUUUUGAACUUUUGAAUCUGUUUUGUCGUAGGUGCAGAUCGAGAUUUAUCUGAUUUUGUUGUGUCUGCAUUUGUCUACUUAUAUGUGCCUAUGAGAAACUGGAAGAAUAUAGUAAAUACCACUUAGUUUGCUAAAAAUUACUGGAGUAACUAAUGUAAAUUUCAACAGAUACUUAUAUAUUUAUAGCAUAAUGAUCUUUGUAACAAUUUAAGUAGCUACAGAUUGAACAAAUUGUGUUGCCUAAACUGGGGUCUGAUCACAAUCAUAUCCUUUUACCUUAUGGGGAUUAGAAUUCAAGUUUGAAAGUUGGUGGUUGAAUGUGGAGGGCUUUAAAGGCAAUGUACAAGACUGUUGGAGAUUUUUCAUUGUAGCAGGGAGAACAAAAUUUGUUCUGGCUACAAAGCUAAAACUUUUGAAGGAGAAAUUAAAAGAAUGGAGCAAGAACAAUAACGGAAACUGGAAGAUAAAAAAGGAGCAGGUUGUGCUUCAAGUUAAUACUCUGGAAACUGUCCUAGAUCAACAACCUCUGACUGAGGAUGAGCAAUUGCAUAAAGCAAAUUUAGCAAUGGAGUUGGGAGAAGUGGCUAGACAUGAGGAAAUAUAUUGGAGGCAAAGGUUCAGAAUUCAGUGGAUUAUGGAUAAAACACAAAAGAGAUUCUAUUCCCUACAAAAAACACUUCUUAGAAGUAGGAGUUACCAUAACUGAUCCAUCUGGGGUGAAAGUUGUCAUUCUAGAUUUUACCAGAAUCUGUAUAAAGAAUGAGAGGCUUGGAGGUCUGAUUUUUUAAUUCAUGAUAACACAUGCAUAUCAGCAGAGGAGUAGAUAUAGAUGGACAGAGAGUUUGAGGAGGAAGAAGUCAUUGAGGGGAUCAGAAUGUGUGCCAUUGAUAAAGCCCCUGGCUCAGAUGGAUUUUCAAUGUUUUUUUUUUUCAGGAUUCUUAGGAUGUCAUGAAGGAGGACAUUAUGUCCACCUUCUAUAACUUUCACUCACCAACAUAUUUUUGAGAAAAUCUUUAAAUGCAACCUUCAUUGCUCUGAUUACAAAAAAUGUUGGGCCACUGAGAUAAGGGAUUUCAAAGCCAUUAGCUGAAUUGCAGCGGUGUACAAAAUCAUUGCUAGGGUACUAGCAGAAAGGCUAAAGAUGGUAAUCAAUAAAGUGAUUCCAGGUGGGGAGGAUCUAAGCCUAGAUGUGCAAACUUGAUAUUGAAAAAGUUUAUGACCACUUCAAGUCCUCAACUUCAAUUUCAUCCUUGAUAUCCUCAGACAAAUUGGUUUUGGUACUAGAGGGAUGAAAUGAAUAGAUUUUUGCAUCAAAAUUACCAAGUUCUCAGUUCUUGUCAAUGGAGAACCAAUUGUUUUUUCUCCGGCUCAAAGGGGUCUCAGACAAGGGAUUCUCUUUCUCCUUUCCUAUUCAUCUUAGCUAUGAAGGGUCUGAACAACAUGAUGAGGAUUUCCACGCACAAUAGAUGGACAACAUGAUUCAAGGUUGGGAACAGAACAGGAGAGAUGAUGGAGAUAUGUCACUUACAAUAUGCAGAUGUCACAGUGGUCUUCUUCAGAACUCUUCAUGUACAACUGGAACAGUCUGAGGCAGUGUUUUGGAUGGCGAAAGGCGACAAGGCCCCGCCUUGCCACGCUGCGAGCCGCUCGCCUUUUGAAUGUACGGCGACAAUUAAUAUAAAAAAUCAAAAUAAUAUAUAAAUGAUCAAAAUUUCAAUAACACUAAUAUAUUAGGAAAUAUUUCAAGUCAAGAAUUAAAAUAAAAAAUUAAAAUAGUAUAUAAAUGAUCAAAAUUUCAAUAACACUAAUAUAUUAGGAAAUAUUUCAAGUCAAGAAUAAAAAAUAGAUAGUUGAUAAAAAAGUUACAUAAUAAGGCAACAACAGAUUACUGGUUACUGUUACAGUAACAGUGUAAGGUUGUAACACUGUUACAGAAUACAGUGGAAGCAGGAAGGAAAAUAGAAGAAGAGAAAAAGAGGAAGAAAAAAAACACCACCAAAAUACAAGUAUUGGAUGCGGGAUUAAGAAGAAGAAGAAAGAAGAAAAAAAAAUAGAAAUCAGUAGUUCACUGAAUUACUUACCGGAGUAGAAUAGCGAGAGUCACCGGAGUACGUUGCCGGUCGCCGGAAUCGAACUUGUGAGAUAAAUGGUAGUAGCCGUAGUCACCAAUUAGUAAGUUGGUAGAGCCAAAAUGGGUAAAUAAGUCCUAAAAUUAGCUUAUAUACCUAAAACCCUAAUUUUUUUUUAAAAUAAAAUAAAAGGCGAUGCCUUUGUCACCUCGCCACGCCAUGUCGCCUUUCUCGCAAAGGCUACGCCUUUUGAAUGUCGCAGUGCCACGCCGUGAAGAGGUGACCAGGCCUCGCCUUUCGCCAUUGGCGACGAGGCGCUCGCAUUUUACAACACUGGUCUGUGGACUCUUUGGGUGUGGUCAAACUCCAAAGUUUGAUUGACGUGCUGUUUAUUCCAAGUUAGAUUUGGUUAAAGACUUGCCACGAACUAAUUCUAAUUUGACUUGGUCUUCCUCUUGUUGACGCGCUUGGAGCUUCUUCGACUCCUUUUAAUUCCAUGUGCAAGUUAAUGGUAACUUUCCUUGUAAGCUUUCCAGUUCCUUGUAGUGUUACGAUUCUCCCGUAUUUCAAUCCUUCAUGGAAAUCUGGCACACGUAAACAACUUCUUUCUUCAAGAGUCUCCUUCUCUGCAACUCAUUUGGCAGUGUUGUGUUGUGCAUCCCUCUUUGGAGAUUUGUGAGAACCUGAUUUUUUGAUACUUCUAUUUUUCUUCUUCUGCUUGUGAAUAUCACUAGUACACAGUUUGUUAAUGAUCAAACCUUUAACAUAGGUUCACAAGAUCUUGAAUGUAGAUUCAGGGAUCAUUGUGAUUCACCAGAGGCUGAACAUGGAUAGGAGGUGAAGAUGAAAACAUGUAGAGGUCCUUUUCGGACGCUCUAGUUUUUUCCGGCCAAAAUUCUGGUCAGAUCUAGGACUCCAUGCCAAAAUCUUUUAGAGUGAUAUCAUGUGGAGGCAUAAUACUAAUAGCUAAAUGUAGAUUGAACAGGUAAAUUUGCUAAUUGAAAAUUCUAUUCUUAUAGCAUGUAUUACAGUAUCCAAGAGAAUUUGAAUAGAGAGAACUAGUCAAAUAUGUAUCAAAAGUUUUGUAAACCAAAUUAAAUUAAUUCUGAAUUGAUCGAACCUUAUGGCAUGUGACCAAGAGGUCAGGGGUUCAACCCUUGGAAACAGCUUCGGGCAGAAAUUCAAGGUAAGGUAGUGUACAAUAGACCCUUGUGGUCGGGGGCUUUUCCGGACCCUGCGCAUAGCGGGAGCUUUAGUGCACCGGGUUGCCUUUUCUUUCCUAAAUUGAUCGAACCAAUUGAAUGUAGAUCUUAAAUCAAUCUUCUUCACUAUUGGAGUUCGCAUUAAAGAUGGUGGCACCCAUAGUUAUCAAAUCAUGGAUGUUCCUCUCACCUUAUGGCAUAGGGGGUUUGAGAAAUUAGGAAAGAAUAUUAGUACUCUUUUUGUUUCAUGUUUAUGUGAUAUUUUUCCAUUGCCCAUUCAUCUAUUGAUUAUCCAACAUCCUAGGUUAUUUUUCAUUCACUAGAAUUUAGGCCGUUAAAAUGAUUUUUUCUAUUUUAUUAUUAUUAUAUCUUGUAGGAUGGAUGUUACCGAACUUUACCACUUGUUUACUGAUUUGUCUGACUUUUGACUCUCAAUGCAGGCAUUACAUGCCAAUGCACUUCCAGUUCUUGAUAUGUGCAAACAAUGGCUUGCUCAGUACAUGUAGUCUUGGUUAUAGGGUGUGAAGUUGGUUUGAGGCAUAUGCAGAACUUUUUAUUUCUGCAGCACAAUGUAAAGUCUUUGUCAAUGUUUGCUGGGUGCUUUGUUUCAUAUUGGCAACAUAGCUUCUCCGGGACACAACUACUUUAGAAGUGUGUGCCCGGGUUUCACAUUUGGGAUCUAGCAGUGCUCAUCAUUCUGGUUUCAGAUUUCUCAUCCAGCUUAUCCAGUGUGCAUGCAUUCAGUUCACCUUCUGUCUGACAUCACACAUUGUCGCAUGAGCAUCUAAGUCCCUUUGAUCAAAGCAUGAACCAUAAAUUCUUAGAUAUGUUCUGAUGUCAAGGAUGAACAUAUUUGAAGUUGCUUGAAGCCAUGAAGUGAAGAGUUGCUAGAUUUGUGGUUGAUUUUCUUUUGUUAUGUUUUUUCAUCUUUGUAUAUAUAGACACAAAGUGGACUUCCAUUUUUAUUAGGUCGGGGUCCAACUCCCUCUCCUCAAAACUCCUUUUGUUUUAUUUGUCUGUAAGAGGGGCUAUUUUUGCUGUUUAAUUAAAUUUUGGGAACCAUAAAAUGUAGAAACUACAUAAUUUGAAAAGAGCUGAAAAAGGGUUACUUUUUUGGGUAGUUCCUUUGUACCAGAAAAUUCAGGACAAAUAUAAUCUUUUCAUUUAAUCUGUUUUAUUGUUAUUAUUUCUGUGGAUGUGUGCUCUCUAAAUGAAUAUAUUGUUAAUUCUGUUUUAUUUUAGUGAUUUUUACCCCUCCGACCUUUUUUAUAUCAGACAAUUUUUGAACUUUGGUGUGUUUGGUACGAUGGAAAAUAUUUUCCUAGAAAAAGUUUUCCUGGAAAAUAAGUUGUUUUCUACUUAUUUUCUCAUGUUUGGUUGGUGAGUGAAAAAUAUUUUUCGAAAAAUAUUUUAUGUUGUUUGAUUGGUUUUCAGAUAUAUUUUUAGUGUUUGGUUGGUGAGUGAAAAAAUAUUUUUUAGAAAAUACUACUAACUGUUAACUAGUAUAUCACUGCCAGAACUAAUUUAAGCAUAGCAAAUAAUAUCAAUAUCGAGUAUUAAGAUAUUACAAGUCACUAAAUUUUAAGCAAUUACUAAUUAGCAAACAUAGGAUACACUCUUCAAUAUUUUAUCAGGACAAUCUUAAGAUACCACAAUCAAUAGAAAUACAAUUGAACAACGAGCUUAUUCAACCUUGUGAAACAAGCUACAACGAUGACAAAAAUGGAAUAUGCAAUUAGCAAAAGUAACAUAGGUAAGUCUUCCUCUAUGCACACGGGAAUAACAAUACAUUCAACGAACAUUGGAAACAAGGAAAUAUUCGGAUUUUAAUAUUUUUUAUUUCAAGCAGUGAAAAAUUAGAGCAAAGUACAGUGAAAAAUGUUUCUGAAUAAUGUGAAUUUUUUGAGUAAUGUGAAUUUGAGUGUUGUUAGGGUGGGGGUAGAGGGGUGGGGUGGAGGCAUAAAAGUCACAUUUGUCAUUUUCUGGAAAAUGACUUUCUUGGUUCAUGAGAGAAGUUAUUUUCUGGAAAAUAAGUCAUUUUGGAAAACAUUUUCCCAAUGUUUUAGUACAACCAAACCAAACAAGGGAAAAUAAGAAAACAUUUUCCAUAAUACCAAACACACUAUUUUCACUUUACCUUAAUCACCUGUUGAAAUGGCAUUGUGUAUAUGUUUAUAUCCUAGAUUAAAUUAAGAUCAGAGUUGCAACCUGGAUUCAAUUGUAUAUUUCCGACUCAAUAGCAAAUAUAUUUAUCUUCUCCUUUGUUAUUAAUGGCCUGUUCUUCAUCAGAUUGAGCAACUAGUUAAGUUUUACGGUGAACAAUAUUAGGUUGCUUUUAUUAAAGGUCUCUUUAUUCGUGUGUAUUAUGAUACAAAGAUUCCCCCAAUAAUAGACUUAUCUAAUGAGAUGUCAUUAGAUAUUCUUAUUCAUAUUAAUAAAGUUAUAGAGUCUUAAAUGGUAAGUUGUAACUACUGUUAAAUCACUGAAGUAUAAAAAAAGUCUAAUUUUCUGUUUGGAAAAAAGAUACAGCGAAAACAUUAUUUAAUACAUAAGAACUUUUGAGUUUUUUCUUAUAUUGAAUUUCUGUUUAAGACUACUAAAUUUAAUUAUCUAAAUAGUAUUCACGAAAACAAUUUUUCCCUCUCGCCCGUUCAUCCUCCCCUUCCCUGCGAAGAAAAAGGAGAAAUAGUUUGGAGAAGACGAGGACUAUUUUAUGUCAAGGUAUUCAUCAGUUGAUUUGGUUCUGUUUUGUGUGGUAUUGAUUUAAUAUAUCAGUUUUUGGUUUGUGAGCAUCCUAAACUGAUGACCAAAUCAAUAUGAUAUGCUCCUCUAAUUUUUUCUCUUAUUUUCAUUUGUUGAUAUAUACACUGUGGCAUAAAAAUUUAUAUGAGUUGCAAGUGAAAACAAAUUCAAAUGAGUUAUUGCUCUUUUUAAUUUAAUAGCAAACUCGGAUGCAAUACCACUGUAACAAUCUCUCAACAAAAAGAUCCAAGGUCAUUUCAUAGUUCACUUUGAUGGGUAGAACUCGACAAACCUACGACUUUAGAAAGAAAAUAACAACACCAAGACAACGACUUAAUAUGGAAAAAGAGAAAAUGAGUCUGCAUGUAAAGUAUAAAGCCACUAUUAUAAAAUUAGAUAAUUUAGUAUAAUUUUAUUGGAUUUAAAAACUAUUAACCCAAUACCCGAUAUCGAUAUCAAAUAAUAUUUUCUUUUAAUUCGGUCAUCCAUGUACGUCCAUAUCAAAGAAGAAAAUCCUAUUUACAUGCGCAACUCAUUUUAAAAAGAGCACACACACAUAUUUAAUAAGUGUACACACAUAAAUACGUAAGUAGAUUGAUAAUAUAUAUAUAUAUAUGCAUGCAUGUAUGUAUGUCUAUGUAUAAAGCCAAUCACUUAAGAAACACUCUCAACUUUGAAGAAUCUUAAUUCAGUAGUUAGUUAGUUAUCUAAAUUUUCACCUUGUUGAUGAGGUUUUAAUUCCACCUCUCGUAAUUUCCUUCCUGUUUGGAUUAGCCUAUUGUAAAUGCUUCUAGGCUAAAAUAGCUUUUAAGAACUUUUAUAGUGUUUGAAUAGAAUGAAAAAAAAGAAGAAGGUGUUUCUGAGUUAAAAAGGCAAAAAAAAGUUUAAAAUAACUAAUGACUUUUUGACUUAUAAGCCAAAAGUUGUAAUAACAUCCAAACAGGUUGUUAUUCAACUCUUCUAAGAACAUCAACUCUACUUUCCAACGAUAUGUACAAAGUUUUCUUAUAUGUAAGACAACUAUUAUUAGGUGAUAAAAUACAAAAUGAUAAUACCACCAUCCUUGGACUCUACGUACCAUAUGUAUAUUAAAAUGAGUAUUGGAUUGACCCCCUGAACACAACAAAGUAGCAAGAAACUGCGCCAUCCUUUUCACCAAGAUGUCAUCUUGGGAGACAACGACAUCGUCGACGACAAGGUCUCCGGCGCCAUCCUUGUAUCGGAGGCACUCAAGUGGAGAAGUAAGAUAUAUAACCUCUGUUUCAAGCAGCCUAUUGCCAGCUUUUGGUACAAUAAUGGGUGAAGGCUCUCUUAAGCUUAAAACAUUUGUUGUUAUUGCUCCUUAAGAUCGUAGAUACAGGUUAUUCCCACGUAGUUAUGUAUGCAUAUGUGUACUAGUGUUAAUUUGUUUUCAUUUAGAUAUAUAUAUGCCUUUUUUUCCUCUCUUCUUUCCAACUUUUUCUGCAUGUGAAUGUGCAUAGGUUAGCAAAAUGUUGUGUAGUAGUAUUGUAUUCAUAACUAAUGGAUCCCAGAAAGAACAAAUAGCAUGGUGAACAUAUAAGAUGUUUAGAGUAUGUUUGUCCAAGACAUUAAAAUUAACUUAUUUUAAUUAUUUCUUCUCGAAAAGUAUUUUUGGGAGAGUUUCGAUUUGUAUUUGGCUAGAUGCCUAGAUUAUUCGUGAAAUCGUUUUUUAUAGUAAUUUUUCUAUUUGACUAACAUUUUUAAAAAGUGUUCUGAAGUAUCAAAUUACGAAAACAAGAAAGUUACUACUAAUCAUUUUGGUCAUGAUGAAUUUUCUGCUCGGAUAACUUUAUCCUAAGAAAAUAAAAGGAAAAAACAUUUAUUUUCAAAAGCGGGAAAACAAUCUGUUUCUAUUCAAAAAUAUUUAUUUCUUGUUUCUAUUCAAAAAUAUUUAUUUCUUCAUUAAAAACUUAGUUAAACAAUAAAAUUCUAUAAACCAAUAAUAUUUUUAAAAUGUGUGUUUUUUUUUUUACCUUUCACUAAAUUAGUCAAACAGGCUAUUAUUGCUUAUUACUCCUUAUGUUCAUUUUAUGCUUUUUUUUACCUUUCACAAAAUUAGUCAAACAGGCUAUUAUUACUUAUUACUCCUUAUGUUCAUUUUUAUAAUUUGUCACUUUUCGCUUCUCGGGAACUAAAUUGCAUGAUCUUUGACAACAUUUUAAGAUAUAUUUUCUAAAUUAUCAUAUCAAUAUGAGAAUAUUGCAAGUUGUGUCAUUUUUUCAUGUAAUAUUCGUAAAUCUAAAUUUUAAAUUUAAAUAUUAAAUUAAUCUACUUUAAUUUAAUUUUGAAUUUUAAUUAAACAGAUUUUCGCAAUGCUUAUUCUCCACUUUGUAAUCCUCUCCCCCGUCUCCCCUUCCGUUAUCCCCAUGUAAUUAAAAAAAUUAUCAUCUCCUUUUUUUAGUUCCUAAUUUAUUUAUUUACUUAAUGGUGAAAAUCACAGAAUAUGGCAAACAUUUCUGGUGAUAUUGGUGUACUCAGCAUGGUCAUCCCCUUUGGAGCUAGCAUUCAACAAGGGAGUAAAUUUCUUAGAUGGUCACUCAUGUUUGAGAAAUUGCCUAUAAAUAUCAUUUUUAUUUCAUUUAAGACAAGAAUAUUACCCAACUCUUUCUAUUUUUCUUAAAAUAUAUUUAACAUCUCAAAAACCUUCUCUCUCCUACUUGAAAUGUAAUGUCAUUAAAAUUUCUCUCUUUUUUUGAUAAAUAGAUCUAUUUAACUUAUCAAUCUUAUUUAACUAAAGUUUAUCCUAAUUCUUUCUUUUAAAAAAAAAUUACACAUGAUAUACAAAUCAUUGAAGAUUAAUUUAAUUACAUCAAAAGCUUGAAUUAUUUUAUUUGAUAUGUACUUUUCAAAGUUUCUUUAUUUACUUAUUUAUUUCACCACCUAAUAAUAUUUAAAACUCAAGUACUUAUAAAAAUUGAUACUCAUUUAUUUUUUUUGUUAUUUAUCUUAUAUAUUAAAGAUUCUUAAAAUGUAAAAGAAAUAAAAACGACGGAUUUCAUAUUUUAGACAUUAAAUUUGUUAUUUAUACGAGGAUAAAAGAAUAAAAUCCACUUUUUGGGAUUAUACAUAAGAAUUAGAGUAAUCAAGAAUAAAGACUAUAAUUUGUUAUUUAAAAGCAUUGAUGGCAAAUCUACGGUAUUUUGUAUUGCCAAACAAAAUUCAAUAAGAAAAUUUUAAUAUGUAUUAUUACCUGAAAAAUUUAAUUUGGACAUAGAUUACUUGUAACUUUUCAUGCAAGAUAAUUUUUGAUAAAUAUAUAGUGAAUAGAUGAUUUUUUUUUUCUUGCAGAUUUUUUACAAGUAAUUGCCCAUAAAUAAAUCAAGUACAUUUGUAAGAUAAGACAUAAAAAUUUAGAAAAAAAUUUAUUAUUUUUAAUUUAGUUUCUUCAUCUUUUUUUGUGAUCAUUAUAUUUAUAUUUUAUUUUAUUAUACAAUUAAACACUAAUUUAUAUCCAUACUUCAUUCUAAAUCCAUCAAAAGCAAAGAAUAAUUGAUUGAGUAAUAUUUUAAAAAUCCAUUUAUCGUAGUACUAAAGAAGGUAUCAUUUGUUGAUAUUUCUUAAAAAGUUUAAUUUGUUUCAAGACUACAUAAUUUUUCUUUCCUUCAAAAGAGGAGAUUUAAUUCUUUUAUUCUCAUAUAAAUAACAAACUUAUGUCUAAAAUAUGAAAUCCAACGUUUUAUUUCUUUUACAUUCUAAAAAUGUUUAGUAUAUAAAAUAAAUGACAAAAGAAAAUUAUUGUAUCAAUUUGUAUAAGUACUUGUAUUUUAAAAUUAUUAUUAAGUGAUGAAAUUAAAUAAAUUUUUUUUUGAAGAUUACAUAUCAAAUAAAAUAACUCAAACUUUUGGUGUAAUUAAAUUAAUCUUCAAUGAUUAAUAUAUCAUGUAUAUUUUUUUUAAAAAAAAAAAUUAGGAUAAAACUUUAGUUAAAUAAGUUUGAUAAGUUAUACAUUUAUAAAAAAAAAAAUUAAUGACAUGGCAUUCUAAGUAGGAGAGAAAGAUUUUGAGGUGUUAAGUAUAUUUUAAGAAAAAAAUAGAAAAGUUGAAUAAUUUUCUCCUACUAAAUAAAAUAAAAAUGAUAUUUGAAAGGAAUUUACUGUUCAACAAGAUGGAAAGUGGAGGCCUUUUGCCUAUUGAUUUAGUGGUGGAUGCCUUCUUCGCCAUUGACAUUCUUCUCACUUUCUUUGUCGCUUACUUGGACAAAUCCACUAAUUUACUCACUGAUGAUCACUACAAAAUUGCUUUCAGGUAAUUUUAUAUAUUAGUUUAGGUGUACGCGUUUUGCGCGUACUUAUUUUAUUGAGUUCAAAAUGUUAUAUUAAAUAAGAUAUUUAUUUAAAUAAUAAAGAUGAAUAUAAUAAUUAAAUUUAAUAUCUUUUGGAGAAUUUAUUUAAUUAAAUUUAACUUUUAUCAAAAAAAUUUGUCAAAAUCGAUCGACAUUCAUCUACCACCUGCAAACUGCAACAAAACAAUAUGAUGAUAGAGACAUCAAAAUAAUAUAAUUAAGUUUAACCUUUCCAUAAAAUUUUUUCUAAAAGUCGUCUGACACUCAUCUACCAUCUAUAAAUUAUAACAAAAUAAUACGAUAACAGUGAUAUCAAAAUAAUACAACUAAACUUAGCCUUUACACAGAAAAAAAAAUCUCAAAAUAGAGAUAUAAAAAUAAUACAAUUAAACCUAACUUUUACCUUAAAAAAAAAUUCCUCAAAGCCAAUCGACAUUGAAUGAAAAUAAAGAAGAUAUAUAUACACAUGCGUUGAAUUCUAUUAUCAAGCAUCUACCAAUCUAGACAUGUAAUAGAAUCCAGUUAAAUAGGCAUUAAUCAUAUUUUUCCAAUAAGUAAAUCAAUUUCUUCUCUAGUUUAACGUGCAUCUCAAUAUUUAUAAAAAUAUGUUCUUAAUACAGUCCUAUUUUAAGAGUAUUUCUUUAUCCUAUUUUAAGAGUAUUUUUCUAAUUGAUCACGAAAAAUAUUAAUUAAUUCUUUUUCUAUAUAUUUUAAAGUCUCAUAUAUUUUAGGAGUUUGGUUAAUAUAAUAUAAAAAAGAAAGCCAAACUAUUUGUACAAAUAUACUUUUUAUAGGAAAGUCAAAUUUUCGUACUUUUUCCCCUUUUAGAAUAGAAUACUUUUAUUGAAUUGCUUAAAAUUAAUAUUUUAUCAAACUAUAUUAAUUUUAAAUUUUAUUUUUAGAUUGAAAAUAAAAGGUGCAUUUGUAUACGUAUAGAAAGUUUUCAAAAGUUACCUACCAUAAACAAAGAUGUAAAAGAACCUUUUUUAUAUAUUUAAGGAGUGGCUAAUUCAAAUAUAUUUUUUUUAUGUAUUUUAGGAGUUUAGUCAAUAUUAUAAAUAUAAUUAAAUAAUAAUAAAAAUAAAAAUAGUGAAAAGACGAUUUUUUCAAAAGCGAAGACGAAGGGUAAAAACUUUAAAUCACGUCUUCACACUUUUAAUAUAUUAUAGAUAGAUUAUAAAUAUAGAUAUAGAUUAUAAAUUAUAGAUAUAAAUAUAGAUACACAUUACUUAAUACAGUACUUUAUUUGUACGCGAAAGAAUAGAAUUCAUUUAGAUACAGUGCCAAUAUAAUACAAAAGAAUCUUUACACCAUUAAGUCGGUUACUACAAGAUAAAUGUGAGUAUGUUGUUAAUGCAUGUAAGUUAAGGUUUGGAAGGACACUGCUGAGAUCAGGCGAGUUAAAUGAAGGACUGCAAAUCUAGCCUACUUUCUUGAGAUGCUACACUUGGGAUUCUUUUAUUUUUUGUAUUACAAAUGAAAGGUUAAACUAAUUAGACUAUACUUAAUAUUUCCUUUAAAAGGUAUGUGAUUCAUCUAGGAUUUCCAAUCGAUGUUGCAUCGACCAUACCAUUCCAAACAAUAUACCAAUUCUUUGAUGGGAAAAAGCAACAAGGCAACAUUUUUGGCUUCCUCAACUUCCUCAGACUUUGGCGUCUGCGUCGUGUUAGUAAAUUUUUCUCAAGGUAAUAUUGACAAAAUAACAAUCAAAUAUGAAUUCUAAAGUGCAUAAUUAUCCCAUCUAUUCAUCCAUCUCAUUGUUAAUCUCUUCCUUAUUUCCAGGCUAGAGAAGGACACUCGAUUCAACUACUUCUGGAUAAGAUUAUGUAAACUAGUUUGUGUACGCACUGCUUCUGUUUCUGAACUAUCCAUAUUAUGCUAGUUUUACCUGAUCCCGUGUCUAUAGAAGUUUUUUUCUUCAAUCAAGCAUUCAUCUUAUGGCUCUAGUCUAUCAAUAGGUGACCUUAUUCGCAGUGCAUUCCGCUGGAUGUUUCUAUUACUGCCUAGCAACACAUUAUCAUACCGCAGAAAAUACCUGGAUUGGGUCAAAUGUUACUAAUUUCAAAGAAAGAAGCAUCUCUCUGGGAUACACAUAUUCCAUGUAUUGGUCUGUUGUUACCCUCACCACAGUUGGUUAUGGCGAUCUCCACGCACAUAAUACAGGGGAGAAGGUUUUCGCCAUCUUCUACAUGCUUUUCAACAUUGGCCUGACUGCUUACAUAAUUGGCAACAUGACCAAUCUUAUUGUCCAGAGUGUUGCUAAAACAUUUGCAAUGGUAAUGAUUGUAAUGUGGCCUUUGUUUAUUCUUUGAUUCACACUUGCUUUGUCAAAGAAAGUUGCUACCAAAUAAUUUUGGAAGAUUAUAUUUUGGAUUUGUCAAAUAAAGUUGCUACUUGUCAAACAAAGUUGCUACCAAAGAUUUUGUUGUAAAUUUCUUUCAUGCCAAUGCAAAUGUUGAAAUUUACAUCUUCCAUUUUCAUCAUGGAUGACAUCAACAAGUCCAUUUUCAUCUCUUUAACUAGGGCUUUCUCAUUUGUAACUUAUCAAUUUUUCAAGACUCUUUCAUUCUCUUGUAUUUAUUCUCCCUUCCUAUUAGAAUAUUAAGUUAGAGAGGGGAUGUUGGGAAACACUUUUGUGAGUCCUUUCUUUUGGAGUGAUCUUGUGAGGUUCUUCUCUUGGGAUAUUUGGGUUAAUUAGAGUGACUACUCUAAUUUUGUAAUCUCUCUAUUGUACUCUUGUUGAUAUAGUGAAAUUGUUUCUCUCCGCUCGUGGACAUAGGUCACACUGACUGAACCACAUUAAAUUUGUGUCUUUUUUUUUUUAAUUACCGUUAUUAUCAACUUGUUAUUGUCUUUGUUAUUGUCAUUAUAACAUUGUUUGACUAAAUUCCGCAAUAAUCGGGUUCUCGAUCCUAACAAAUUGGUAUCAGAGAUGGAUCUAACCAGGUUAUUUUCAGUAGCCAAAAUGACUAUAACAAAGACUAACGUUGAGAAAAUUGAUCGAAGUGCAAACUUCGGGAUAUGACAAUUAAAGAUGAAAGCUAUCCUAAUUCAGGAUGGCUUAGAUAUGGCAUUGGAAGGAAAGGAGAUGAAGCCAGAAAAUAUGACGGACGAUAAGUUUGCCGUCAUAGACAAAAAGACAAAAUUAGGUAUUAUUCUAAAUCUCGCAAAUGAGGUUUUACGUGAAGAAUCUACAGAAACCACAGCGAAAGGCAUAUGGGAAAAACUAAAACCUUGUAUAUGAAAAGAACAGUGAAAAAUAGACUAUACCUGAAGCAGAAGCUUUACACAUUUCGUAUGGUUGAAGGUACUUCUAUACUGUCACAUCUUGAUGCUUUUGAUUCUAUUCUUAUGGAUUUGAGUAAUAUAGACGCUGAAGUUAAUGAUGAAGAUCAAGCCGUCUUAUUACUUAUUUCCUUACCCCAAUCAUUCAAGCAUAUUAGAGAUACAAUGCUUUAUGGAAAGGAUAAUAUCUCUUACAAAGAAAUCAAAUCUAUCUUAAAAAUAAAGGAACAGAUAGAUAGAGAUAUUACCGGGGAAAGUAGCGCAACCCAUGGGGAAGGAUUAUUUGUAAGAGGUGGAUUAAUAAGAAAGAAUCAAAUAGUGAGAGGUCUAAAUCAAGGUCAAAGUCUAAAUCCAUAAAUGUUGUGUGCAAAUACUGUCAUAAGAAAGGUUAUAUUAUUUUUGAAUGCUAUAAGUUGAAAAACAAAGAAAAGCAUAAGGAAAACAAAAAUGAGCACCAAAAUACUAACUCCGCCGAAGCAAGUGUAGCUGCUGAUGAGUCUGACGGAACAAUAUUUUUAGCACUAAUAAUAGUUUUAAAUCUAACGAUGAGUAGAUUUUAGAUUCUGGUUGUUCUUAUCAUAUGUGUUCCAAUAGGGAUUUGUUUACCACAUUCGAAUCUGUUGGAGGUGGAGUUGUCUUGAUGGGCAACAAUGCUCCUUGCAAAAUUUUUGGUAAAGGUACAGUCCGAAUUAGAAUGCACGAUGGUGUGGUGAGAACUCUCACCGAUGUUAGAUAUAUUCCUGACUUGAAGAAAAUUCUCAUUGCUUUAGGCACUUUAUAAUCUCUUGGGUGCAAAUACACAGGUGAAGGUAGAGUUUUGAAAUUCUCUCUGGGCGCUCUUGUGAUCAUGAAAGCACACAAAUCAGGUACGUUGUACACUUUAUUAGGAUCCACUAUUACAGGGGUUGCUGUAGUUUCCAUUUCAAAUCAAUCUGAUCCCGACAUCACCAAAUUGUGGCAUAUCCGAUUGGGGCAUAUGAGUAAGAAAAGUCUUUCCAUCCUCAGCAAAAGAGGUCUACCGUGUGGACAAAGUAUCGGAAAAAUAGAGUUCUACAAACAUUGUGUGUUUGGAAAGCAGAAAAGAGUCAGCUUCAAAUCUCCAGCAGUUCAUCGAACAAGAGGUACUUUGGACUACAUUUAUUCAGAUCUUUGGGGUCCUUUCUGUACCCCACCAAAAGGUGGUGCCAGACAUAUGUUAACUUUCAUUAAUGAUUAUUCAAGAAAGGUUUGAGUUUAUUUUCUGAAAAAUAAAAGUGAUGUUUUCUUAACUUUCAAACAAUGAAAAGUUUGAUUGAGAAACAAACAGGAAAAUAGGUCAAGCGGAUUAGAACAGAUAAUAACUUGGAAUUUUGUAAUGACGAGUUCAACGAAUUUAAAUAAAUUUUUUUUUGAAGAUUACAUAUCAAAUAAAAUAACUCAAACUUUUGGUGUAAUUAAAUUAAUCUUCAAUGAUUAAUAUAUCAUGUAUAUUUUUUUUAAAAAAAAAAAUUAGGAUAAAACUUUAGUUAAAUAAGUUUGAUAAGUUAUACAUUUAUAAAAAAAAAAAUUAAUGACAUGGCAUUCUAAGUAGGAGAGAAAGAUUUUGAGGUGUUAAGUAUAUUUUAAGAAAAAAAUAGAAAAGUUGAAUAAUUUUCUCCUACUAAAUAAAAUAAAAAUGAUAUUUGUAAGGAAUUUACUGUUCAACAAGAUGGAAAGUGGAGGCCUUUUGCCUAUUGAUUUAGUGGUGGAUGCCUUCUUCGCCAUUGACAUUCUUCUCACUUUCUUUGUCGCUUACUUGGACAAAUCCACUAAUUUACUCACUGAUGAUCACUACAAAAUUGCUUUCAGGUAAUUUUAUAUAUUAGUUUAGGUGUACGCGUUUUGCGCGUACUUAUUUUAUUGAGUUCAAAAUGUUAUAUUAAAUAAGAUAUUUAUUUAAAUAAUAAAGAUGAAUAUAAUAAUUAAAUUUAAUAUCUUUUGGAGAAUUUAUUUAAUUAAAUUUAACUUUUAUCAAAAAAAUUUGUCAAAAUCGAUCGACAUUCAUCUACCACCUGCAAACUGCAACAAAACAAUAUGAUGAUAGAGACAUCAAAAUAAUAUAAUUAAGUUUAACCUUUCCAUAAAAUUUUUUCUAAAAGUCGUCUGACACUCAUCUACCAUCUAUAAAUUAUAACAAAAUAAUACGAUAACAGUGAUAUCAAAAUAAUACAACUAAACUUAGCCUUUACACAGAAAAAAAAAUCUCAAAAUAGAGAUAUAAAAAUAAUACAAUUAAACCUAACUUUUACCUUAAAAAAAAAUUCCUCAAAGCCAAUCGACAUUGAAUGAAAAUAAAGAAGAUAUAUAUACACAUGCGUUGAAUUCUAUUAUCAAGCAUCUACCAAUCUAGACAUGUAAUAGAAUCCAGUUAAAUAGGCAUUAAUCAUAUUUUUCCAAUAAGUAAAUCAAUUUCUUCUCUAGUUUAACGUGCAUCUCAAUAUUUAUAAAAAUAUGUUCUUAAUACAGUCCUAUUUUAAGAGUAUUUCUUUAUCCUAUUUUAAGAGUAUUUUUCUAAUUGAUCACGAAAAAUAUUAAUUAAUUCUUUUUCUAUAUAUUUUAAAGUCUCAUAUAUUUUAGGAGUUUGGUUAAUAUAAUAUAAAAAAGAAAGCCAAACUAUUUGUACAAAUAUACUUUUUAUAGGAAAGUCAAAUUUUCGUACUUUUUCCCCUUUUAGAAUAGAAUACUUUUAUUGAAUUGCUUAAAAUUAAUAUUUUAUCAAACUAUAUUAAUUUUAAAUUUUAUUUUUAGAUUGAAAAUAAAAGGUGCAUUUGUAUACGUAUAGAAAGUUUUCAAAAGUUACCUACCAUAAACAAAGAUGUAAAAGAACCUUUUUUAUAUAUUUAAGGAGUGGCUAAUUCAAAUAUAUUUUUUUUAUGUAUUUUAGGAGUUUAGUCAAUAUUAUAAAUAUAAUUAAAUAAUAAUAAAAAUAAAAAUAGUGAAAAGACGAUUUUUUCAAAAGCGAAGACGAAGGGUAAAAACUUUAAAUCACGUCUUCACACUUUUAAUAUAUUAUAGAUAGAUUAUAAAUAUAGAUAUAGAUUAUAAAUUAUAGAUAUAAAUAUAGAUACACAUUACUUAAUACAGUACUUUAUUUGUACGCGAAAGAAUAGAAUUCAUUUAGAUACAGUGCCAAUAUAAUACAAAAGAAUCUUUACACCAUUAAGUCGGUUACUACAAGAUAAAUGUGAGUAUGUUGUUAAUGCAUGUAAGUUAAGGUUUGGAAGGACACUGCUGAGAUCAGGCGAGUUAAAUGAAGGACUGCAAAUCUAGCCUACUUUCUUGAGAUGCUACACUUGGGAUUCUUUUAUUUUUUGUAUUACAAAUGAAAGGUUAAACUAAUUAGACUAUACUUAAUAUUUCCUUUAAAAGGUAUGUGAUUCAUCUAGGAUUUCCAAUCGAUGUUGCAUCGACCAUACCAUUCCAAACAAUAUACCAAUUCUUUGAUGGGAAAAAGCAACAAGGCAACAUUUUUGGCUUCCUCAACUUCCUCAGACUUUGGCGUCUGCGUCGUGUUAGUAAAUUUUUCUCAAGGUAAUAUUGACAAAAUAACAAUCAAAUAUGAAUUCUAAAGUGCAUAAUUAUCCCAUCUAUUCAUCCAUCUCAUUGUUAAUCUCUUCCUUAUUUCCAGGCUAGAGAAGGACACUCGAUUCAACUACUUCUGGAUAAGAUUAUGUAAACUAGUUUGUGUACGCACUGCUUCUGUUUCUGAACUAUCCAUAUUAUGCUAGUUUUACCUGAUCCCGUGUCUAUAGAAGUUUUUUUCUUCAAUCAAGCAUUCAUCUUAUGGCUCUAGUCUAUCAAUAGGUGACCUUAUUCGCAGUGCAUUCCGCUGGAUGUUUCUAUUACUGCCUAGCAACACAUUAUCAUACCGCAGAAAAUACCUGGAUUGGGUCAAAUGUUACUAAUUUCAAAGAAAGAAGCAUCUCUCUGGGAUACACAUAUUCCAUGUAUUGGUCUGUUGUUACCCUCACCACAGUUGGUUAUGGCGAUCUCCACGCACAUAAUACAGGGGAGAAGGUUUUCGCCAUCUUCUACAUGCUUUUCAACAUUGGCCUGACUGCUUACAUAAUUGGCAACAUGACCAAUCUUAUUGUCCAGAGUGUUGCUAAAACAUUUGCAAUGGUAAUGAUUGUAAUGUGGCCUUUGUUUAUUCUUUGAUUCACACUUGCUUUGUCAAAGAAAGUUGCUACCAAAUAAUUUUGGAAGAUUAUAUUUUGGAUUUGUCAAAUAAAGUUGCUACUUGUCAAACAAAGUUGCUACCAAAGAUUUUGUUGUAAAUUUCUUUCAUGCCAAUGCAAAUGUUGAAAUUUACAUCUUCCAUUUUCAUCAUGGAUGACAUCAACAAGUCCAUUUUCAUCUCUUUAACUAGGGCUUUCUCAUUUGUAACUUAUCAAUUUUUCAAGACUCUUUCAUUCUCUUGUAUUUAUUCUCCCUUCCUAUUAGAAUAUUAAGUUAGAGAGGGGAUGUUGGGAAACACUUUUGUGAGUCCUUUCUUUUGGAGUGAUCUUGUGAGGUUCUUCUCUUGGGAUAUUUGGGUUAAUUAGAGUGACUACUCUAAUUUUGUAAUCUCUCUAUUGUACUCUUGUUGAUAUAGUGAAAUUGUUUCUCUCCGCUCGUGGACAUAGGUCACACUGACUGAACCACAUUAAAUUUGUGUCUUUUUUUUUUUAAUUACCGUUAUUAUCAACUUGUUAUUGUCUUUGUUAUUGUCAUUAUAACAUUGUUUGACUAAAUUCCGCAAUAAUCGGGUUCUCGAUCCUAACAAAUUGGUAUCAGAGAUGGAUCUAACCAGGUUAUUUUCAGUAGCCAAAAUGACUAUAACAAAGACUAACGUUGAGAAAAUUGAUCGAAGUGCAAACUUCGGGAUAUGACAAUUAAAGAUGAAAGCUAUCCUAAUUCAGGAUGGCUUAGAUAUGGCAUUGGAAGGAAAGGAGAUGAAGCCAGAAAAUAUGACGGACGAUAAGUUUGCCGUCAUAGACAAAAAGACAAAAUUAGGUAUUAUUCUAAAUCUCGCAAAUGAGGUUUUACGUGAAGAAUCUACAGAAACCACAGCGAAAGGCAUAUGGGAAAAACUAAAACCUUGUAUAUGAAAAGAACAGUGAAAAAUAGACUAUACCUGAAGCAGAAGCUUUACACAUUUCGUAUGGUUGAAGGUACUUCUAUACUGUCACAUCUUGAUGCUUUUGAUUCUAUUCUUAUGGAUUUGAGUAAUAUAGACGCUGAAGUUAAUGAUGAAGAUCAAGCCGUCUUAUUACUUAUUUCCUUACCCCAAUCAUUCAAGCAUAUUAGAGAUACAAUGCUUUAUGGAAAGGAUAAUAUCUCUUACAAAGAAAUCAAAUCUAUCUUAAAAAUAAAGGAACAGAUAGAUAGAGAUAUUACCGGGGAAAGUAGCGCAACCCAUGGGGAAGGAUUAUUUGUAAGAGGUGGAUUAAUAAGAAAGAAUCAAAUAGUGAGAGGUCUAAAUCAAGGUCAAAGUCUAAAUCCAUAAAUGUUGUGUGCAAAUACUGUCAUAAGAAAGGUUAUAUUAUUUUUGAAUGCUAUAAGUUGAAAAACAAAGAAAAGCAUAAGGAAAACAAAAAUGAGCACCAAAAUACUAACUCCGCCGAAGCAAGUGUAGCUGCUGAUGAGUCUGACGGAACAAUAUUUUUAGCACUAAUAAUAGUUUUAAAUCUAACGAUGAGUAGAUUUUAGAUUCUGGUUGUUCUUAUCAUAUGUGUUCCAAUAGGGAUUUGUUUACCACAUUCGAAUCUGUUGGAGGUGGAGUUGUCUUGAUGGGCAACAAUGCUCCUUGCAAAAUUUUUGGUAAAGGUACAGUCCGAAUUAGAAUGCACGAUGGUGUGGUGAGAACUCUCACCGAUGUUAGAUAUAUUCCUGACUUGAAGAAAAUUCUCAUUGCUUUAGGCACUUUAUAAUCUCUUGGGUGCAAAUACACAGGUGAAGGUAGAGUUUUGAAAUUCUCUCUGGGCGCUCUUGUGAUCAUGAAAGCACACAAAUCAGGUACGUUGUACACUUUAUUAGGAUCCACUAUUACAGGGGUUGCUGUAGUUUCCAUUUCAAAUCAAUCUGAUCCCGACAUCACCAAAUUGUGGCAUAUCCGAUUGGGGCAUAUGAGUAAGAAAAGUCUUUCCAUCCUCAGCAAAAGAGGUCUACCGUGUGGACAAAGUAUCGGAAAAAUAGAGUUCUACAAACAUUGUGUGUUUGGAAAGCAGAAAAGAGUCAGCUUCAAAUCUCCAGCAGUUCAUCGAACAAGAGGUACUUUGGACUACAUUUAUUCAGAUCUUUGGGGUCCUUUCUGUACCCCACCAAAAGGUGGUGCCAGACAUAUGUUAACUUUCAUUAAUGAUUAUUCAAGAAAGGUUUGAGUUUAUUUUCUGAAAAAUAAAAGUGAUGUUUUCUUAACUUUCAAACAAUGAAAAGUUUGAUUGAGAAACAAACAGGAAAAUAGGUCAAGCGGAUUAGAACAGAUAAUAACUUGGAAUUUUGUAAUGACGAGUUCAACGAAUUUUGCAAAACUGGAGGAAUUGCUCGACAUCGCACUGUGAGGAUGACAUCUCAACAAAAUGGUGUUGCAGAAAGGAUGAACAUGACUCUUUUGGAAAGAGCUCGUUGCAUGAUUUCAAAUGUUGGGUUGACAAAUGCUUUUUGGGCAGAGGCUAUCUCUACAACUUGUUAUAUUAUCAACCGUGCUCCUUCUGCUCCUUUGAACUUCAAGACUCCAAAGGAAAUAUGGUCAGAUACACUUGCUAAUUAUUCUGACUUAAAAGUUUUUGGUUGUCCUGCUUAUAUGCUUGUAAAUGAUGGAAAAUUAGAGCCAAGAGCUAAAAAGUGUAUUUUCCUUGGAUAUGCAUCUGGGGUGAAAGGAUACAGACUUUAGUGCCCUGAUCCCAAGUCACCGAAAUUUAUAAUUAGCAGAGAUGUAACCUUUGAUGAAUCUUCUAUGUUACAUUCCAUAAAAGAGUCUUCUAGCUCUUGUACCAAGAACAAAGAGCAUGAUAUGUAUGAACAUGUGGAGGUUGAGCUUGGCAUACCUUCUGAGCCAAGCUCAUCAACUGUUGAACAAAAUAUAGUUGAAACUCCAGAAGUUGAGCCAGAAGUUGUGACUUUUAAAGUUGAACCAAAUGAGUAUACCAUAGCAACAAAUAGACCAAGAAGACAAAUUCACAAACCAGAAAGGUAUGGAGAUUAUGUUGCAUUUGCUUUUUCAGUUGCAUAAGAAACUGAAAAAAUUGGAGAACCAUCAAAUUAUUCAGAAGCAGUUUCUGGUGCUGAUUCAACAAGUGACUGAUUGCAAUGAAUGAAGAAAUUGAAUCUCUCCAUAAGAAUGGUACUUGGUCUCUUGUGAAGCCGUCGUCAAGAAGCAAAAUCAUUGGUUGCAAAUGGGUCUUUAAGAAAAAAAAUGGAAUUCCAAGGGUUGAAGAUGCAAGGGUUAAGGCACGAUUAGUUGCAAAGGGCUAUAGUCAGGUACAAAGAGUUAAUUUUAAUGAUAUUUUCUCACUUGUUAAACAUAGCUCUAUUCAUGUCUUGCUUGCCUUAGUUGCCAUACAUGAUUUGGAAUUAGAACAACUUGAUGUUAAGACAACUUUCUUACAUGGUGAACUUGAGGAACAAAUAUACAUGCAUCAACCUGAAGGAUUUAAAAUUGAAGGAAAGGAAGAUCAUGUUUGCUUGUUAAGGAAAUUCUUAUACGGAUUAAAACAAUCUCCAAGACAAUGGUACAAGAGGUUUGAUUGCUUUAUGUUGGGUCAUGGUUAUUCAAGGAGCACGUAUGAUAGUUGUGUUUACUUUCGAAAGUUAAAUAAUGGUUCAUUUGUUUGCUUACUAUUAUAUGUUGAUGACAUGCUCAUUGCUGCUAAGGAUUUAACAGAAAUUCACAAUUUGAAAAGUCAGCUGAAAAGUGAAUUUGAAAUGAAAGAUUUGGGAGCAGCUAAGAAAAUCCUUGGCGUGGAGAUCAAAAGAGAUCGAGAAGCCCACAGGCUAUUUUUGACCCAGAAGAAGUACUUGGAGAAGGUCUUGGAGAGGUUUGGCAUGAAAGAAGCUAAACCAGAAAGUACUCCUCUUGCUGCUCAUUUUAAGUUAUCAGCUGCUCAAUCACCGCAGUCAGAGGAAGAAGAAGGGUAUAUGGCACAGGUACCGUAUUCUAGUGCAGUUGGAAGUAUUAUGUACGCAAUGGUAUGUACACGUUAAGAUAUUUUACAAGCAGUAAGUGUGGUAAGUCGAUAUAUGAUAUCCUGGAAAAGCACAUUGGCAGGCAGUGAAAUGGAUUCUCAGAUACUUGCGUGGUACUUCAAACGCAUGUCUGGAAUUAGGAAGAAAUACUAACACUUUGGUUGGUUUUGUAGACUCAGAUUAUGCAGGUGAUCUUGACAAAAGAAGAUCACUGACUAGCUACGUAUUUUGCAUUGGUGAUUGUGCUAUCAGUUGGAAAACUACAUUACAACACGUAGUAGCUUUAUCUACUGCUGAAGCAGAAUAUAUGGCAGUGACCGAGGCUAUCUUCUUAUGGUUGAAGGGUCUAUUUGCUGAACUCAGUCCACACCAAGGUGGUAUUAUUAUUUUCUGUGAUAGUCAAAGUGUCAUCCACUUGGCUAAAGAUCAAAUGUAUCAUGAGAGGACGAAGUAUACUGACAUCAAGUAUCAUUUUAUUCGGGAAUCUAUUAUUAAAGGAAAGGUCUCUGUCCAGAAGAUCAACAUUAGAGACAAUCCUGCAGACAUGUUCACAAAGUCUCUUCCGGUCAGUAAGUUCAAGCUUUGCCUGAGCUUGAUUGCCGUUUGUGAAGAAUGAUUUUGCCCACACGGGCUUUUGCAGAGUGGAAGCAAAUUUACUAUAUUAACCAAACUCAGGCCAAGGUGGAGAUUUGUAAUGUGGCCUUUGUUUAUUCUUUGAUUCAUACUUGCUUUGUCAAAGAAAGUUGCUACCAAAUAAUUUUGGAAGAUUAUAUUUUGGAUUUGUCAAACAAAGUUGCUACUUGUCAAACAAAGUUGCUACCAAAGAUUUUGUUGUAAAUUUCUCUCAUUCACAUGCAAAUGUUGAAAUUUACAUCUUCCAUUUUCAUCAUGGAUGACAUCAACAAGUCCAUUUUAUCUCUAUAAAUAAGAGUCUUCUUUCUCAUUUGUAACAUAUCAAUUUUUCAAGAGUUCUCUUUCAUUCUCUUGUAUUUAUUCUCCCUUCCUAUUAGAGUAUUAAGUAAGAGAGUGGAUGUUGGGAAACAUUUUUGUGAGUCCUUUCUUUUGGAGUGAUCUUGUGAGGUUCUUCUCUUGGGAUAUUUGGGUUAAUUAGAGUGACUACUCUAAUUUUGUAAUCUCUCUAUUGUACUUUUGUUGAUAUAGUGAAAUUGUUCCUCUCUGCUCGUGGACGUAGGUCACACUGACCGAACCACGUUAAAUUUGCAUCUCUUUUUAAAUAUUUUUUAAUUACCGUUAUUAUCAACUUGUUAUUGUCUUUGUUAUUGUCAUUAUAACAUUGUUUGGCUAAAUCCCGCAAUAACCGGGUUCUCGAUCCUAACAAUGACUCCUUAAGGAAAAUACAGUGAAGAAAGCAUGUUUAGAGUAAUACAGUAUUAUGGUUUUUAAAAUGCAGAGGGAUGCCAUCAACGAGAUACUACGAUAUGCAAGCAAGAAUAGACUUCCUGAAGGCAUAAAAGAGAAAAUGCUGGCACAUGUAACACUCAGAUUCAAGACUGCAGAACUACAGCAAGAGGAAGUACUAGAAGACUUACCCCUUAGGCAAUAAGAUCUAGCAUUGCACAGCAUCUCUUCCAUACUACCCUUGAAAAUACCUAUCUUUUCAAAGGGUGUCCGAAGACUUUUGUUCAGUUGGUAAAAUGUUCUCUUACUAGCCUACUUAACAUCAAGAAGAAAGUAGAUUUCUUCGCACCAACAAUCAGCAAAACCCAAGUCAAUGUUGUUAGUAAUUCAAGGAUAGGAUAUUGUGCAAAUUGAAGUCAAUAAACACUUUAGGUUAUCCGGAAAUAACUAACAACCCUGUUGCCAUCAUGCUUAAUUUAACUUGUACAGUGCCACAGAACUCAAAUGGGUUUGGCUUUUGAUCUUACAGGUUUCGGAGAUAAAAGCAGAAUAUUUUCCUCCGAAAGUUGACAUUGUUAUUCAAAAUGAGAUACCAACAGAUUUCUACAUUAUUGUCUCCGGGGCUUUGGUAUGUGAAAUUCCUGUCAAUAGAUUUUGCUCUUACUAUCCCUAUAUAAUUAACUUCUCAGUGGUUGAAAACAUGCAGGAAGUGGUUACAUACAAGAAUGGAAUCAAACAGGUUAGUUAUCCCAUUCUAACAUCGCUCGAUGUUGUUCCUAAUUUUUCUUUGACAUCCUAGUAAUUUCUAGACAAAAUAAAUAUCGAUCAAAUUUAAAUUGUUAGAUUAGGAAUAGAAUCAUUAUAGUCUCCUCCAUGGAAAAGGAUUAUAAUGUAGUGUCUAGUGUAAUAGUGCAGUCAACAUGAUUCGAUAAUAUUUUUCUCCUUUAUUUCUCAUGUAAAUAAUAAAAAAGAGAAGGAAAAGGAAUAACCACAACCACGUGCCUGGAGAGUCAGAAGUCUGAAGUGCAUACUGAUCUCAAUUGUUCUGCUGAACAGUUCCUGUCAAAGUUGGAAUCCCCAGAAUUGUUCGGGGAAAUAGGUGUGAUCAUUAAUACGCCUCAGCCUUUCACUGUCAGAAGUCAGAGGCUCUCUCAGGUUGUUCGAAUCAGCUAUCACCACUUCAAACAACUCGUGCUGCCCCUAAAAGCAGAUGGAAAGAUAAUCCUCUUUAAUUUUCUUCAGGUAUUGUAGUAGCUUUUAGCUGCUAGUCUUGAACAUCAUAAUCAUUCCCAGUGACAAGCUAGUUAUCCAUAUUCCAUGCACUGUUAAUUCAAACCUCUGAGCAUCAGUAAUACUGAGCAAAUAACGGCAUUUCCCAGCUAAAUGGCAGCUCACCAUAUUAGCUCUUAUAUAAGUAACUUCUCUAUUUAUACUCACAUCAUGUUCAUGUGAUAUGAUAUAAUCAGCAUCUGAAAGUAAAGGAAGAGCUACAAGAGAUACUGCUCAUAUCUGAGCUGCUGAAUGACCUGCAUAGUGAGGUAAUUCUUUGCCAAAAACUAGCAAAACUUAUGGCAUUAAACUCAUGAGUAUGCAGUUGGACCUGGCUUGGUUUUUCAAUUACAUCUUCUUCUUCUGUUUUUGUGUCCGAGUCUUGGGGGCGGGGGGCAACAAAAGAGCCAAGAAAAUCGAAUUGUUAGAAGAUUCAGCAAAUCCUCUCUCUUGCAAAGACUUUAGACCUCAAGUGUAAUGGUAAAAGGUAAAGUCUAAUGGGAAAAUCUAAUAUUCUUCACUCACAGGAAAACAUUUUCCAUCAAAAAGUGUGUAUAACUUACCAAUAGAAGUCAAUUUCCUUACAACAUCUAUCUUGACUUUUAACUUCAUAUUGCCUGCUCCAACAAACAUUUAGACGUUAUUCGAAAUUUCAUUAAAACACUCUUGUUAAUAUCAUUAUAAAUUUAAAUAUAACUUUGUCAGAAAAUUAAAAACUUUUCACUUGCCAACCGAACACCAAAAACAUCUUCCUGGAGAACGCUUUUCAUGAAAAAUGGCAUUUGUCAUACCAACAACAACAACAACAAACCCAGUGUAUUCCCACCUAGUGGGGUCUGGGGGGUUAAGAUGUACGCAGUCCAUACCUCUACCUCUAAAGAAGUAGAAAGGCUGUUUCCGAUAGACCCCCGGCUCAAGUCACGAGAUACCACACAAACCAUAGUAAAGCACAGAACUAGAUUACAUAACAUAAAUACGGCACCCAUAAGUAUUAGAAAACAGAGGAAAGCACACAGAUUCGUAAUAAAACAUAGAACACGGAAUCAUAACAAGAAUAAAACCCCCACCAAGUAAUUCCCUACCCUAGCAACCCAAACCGGCCCUAGUCUUAUGCCCUAAUUCGCGUCCUCCAGACCUUCCUAUCUAGGGUCAUGUCCUCGGUGAGCUGUAACUGCUCCAUGUCCCGCCUAAUCACCUCACCCCAGUACUUCUUCGGCCUACCCCUACCCCGCCUAAAACCAUCCAACGCUAGCCUCUCACACCUACGAACCGGGGCAUCCAUGCCCCUCCUCUUCACGUGUUCGAACCAUCUCAAUCGGGCUUCCCGCAUCUUGCACUCCACCGGAGUCACACCAACCUUCUCCCGGAUAGUCUCAUUCCGCACUCUAUCCCCUUUUGUCAUACCAAACUAUGAAAUAUACAUCUAUCUAGAUAAAGAACGUGUAUGGUAAACUUCUUAACACUUCUUAUCCGUCAAUGGUAACAAACAAAUACACCCCCUUUCGAUAUUUUUGAGCCCCAGUCAAAAGAAAACAAGGAAAAUUAUACUACUAAGUUUAAUUGACAAUGUCCAAUCGCUGAUACAGCAGUAUUGACCUCUGAAUCUAACAUACAAAUGCAACAUUUUAUGUAUCAGCAAGCACUACAGAAGCACAGACAAAUGAGAGCUUGUAAGAAUAUUAUUUACUUGUGGCCCAAAUUUACUUGUGGUCCAAG
rnacentral:lncRNA from 1 species